rnacentral:rRNA from 1 species
GACACUGUAAGGAUUGACGGACUGAAGGCUCUUUCUCGAUUCCGUGGAAAGUGGUGCAUGGCCGUUUUGGUUGGUGGAUCGAUCCGUCUGGUUAAUUCCGUUAACGAACGAGACCUCGGCACUCCGAAUAGCGCGGCGGACGUCGCGGCCUCCGGGCCGUCUUCCGCACGAGCUUCUUAGAGGGACCGUCCCCCGCCGGGGAAGGAGGUGCGAGGCAACGACAGGUCUGUGAUGCCCUUAGAUGUUCUGGGCCGCACGCGCAUUACACUGACGCGUCCAACGGGUGACUCCCGACCCGAAGGGGCCGGGGAAUCCGCAAGGCGCGUCGUGAUGGGGAUUGAACGUUGCAAUUGUUGUUCACGAACGAGGAAUUCCUAGUAGGCGCGGGUCAUCAACCCGCGCCGAUUACGUCCCUGCCC